GAAUAUACAUGCUCAAUGAGGUGUUUUCCUUUCUUUAUUCUGGACACAGAGCACUGUGUCCCAGAGAAUGCUGCUGAUGUUUAAUUUGAUAAAUACUCAGGGACUUGAAAGCUGGGGAAGAGCAGGUGCUUGGCUAUCUUGGUAGCUGUGCAGGCAGACUGUCUAGAGUUUACAUUUACUUACUGAAAAAUUCAGUUCUGAUGCCUCAGUGAAGGUGGAAUAACAGCUCAACACCACAGGGCGCGAAGGUGUUAGUGUUAGUAAGGCCUGCUGUCUUCUAUUUUGGGUGCUGGUAGCACCGAUAAGCUGUAAGUAAGGAGUCACAGUACAAAUAUCUGGGGCAUGGUAGGAUUUGCUUUUUUAAAUAGACCUCCACAGCUAGCCUCUCUCAGACCUUGCUCCAGGGCUGGCUCAUACUCACGAUGUGUGCACCCAGGCACUGAAUGUGUAUGGGGGUGUUGGAGUGAUGAGCCAGCUGCCAAGGGAGCAAGCAGGUGAAGGUCAUUGUGGGUUUGAGAAGACGGAAUUCUAGAUCCCCUCACUCCCUGUUCCAGCCUACUGCAGGGGCUGCUGGGGUAGCCAUCAGAAGGAGUACAGCCAAAAGUGAGGGGGAAAAUUGUCAUCUGGAAGAGGAGCAGCACUUUGAGAAUUCAUUUCCUGGUCUGAGACCUCAGAUGGCUAGAAAAUACCAGCCGAUUAAACUAACAUCAGAAGAUCAAUGGAUGAUCUGAAGUCAACUGACUGUAGCCAACAUACCAGCAAUACUCCUAGGACAGCAGUGAUCUACCCAGCAUGCAGCAUCCAGCAACAGAAGGUCAGGACAAAAGGAAUAGUCACCUUGAAGAGACAAAAAUAGUAAGCUCCCAGGAUUCUGUUUGUUAGAAUACCAGAGUGUUGAAAGAGGCCAGGAUAUCAUUUCAGCUUUCUAGACUGAAAAUCAGCUGUGGGAGUGUACAGUCAAACCAGAAAGCUUAUGAAGAACAAAAACAGUAAAAACCAAAUAUAGACAGUUCUGUGAAUCUGUGAUCUUUUCUGUGAUGUUUCCUUGCUUGCUUGAUAGAACUGAGUUGAAACUAUUUACUGAGCUAAUUUAUACUAACAAUUAAUUUUGGGAACAAUAUGAGCCAUUUUUCUCAUUUUGAAUUUUAACCAAAAGAAGCCAUAUUUUGAGUAUUGGACACAAAAUCCAGAAAUCUUUGCUGAAUGCCUUAAAAAUGGAAUUGUGUAACUUUUCUGUUUUGAAACUUGUUUCCCUUUCAGAAUAAAGCAAAUCUUUUUCUUUCUUU